GGAAGAAUCUGGAGACAGGUGCUGCAUGGCUGUCGUCAGCUCGUGUCGUGAGAUGUUGGGUUAAGUCCCGCAACGAGCGCAACCCUUGCCUUUAGUUGCCAGCAGUUCGGCUGGCACUCUAAAGGGACUGCCGGUGUUAAACCGGAGGAAGGUGGGGAUGACGUCAAGUCCUCAUGGCCUUUAUGACCAGGGCUACACACGUACUACAAUGGUCGGUACAAAGGGUUGCCAAGCCGCGAGGUGGAGCUAAUCCCAUAAAACCGAUCGUAGUCCGGAUCGCAGUCUGCAACUCGACUGCGUGAAGUCGGAAUCGCUAGUAAUCGUGAAUCAGAAUGUCACGGUGAAUACGUUCCCGGGCCUU
rnacentral:rRNA from 1 species